rnacentral:rRNA from 1 species
GCAGGCUGAAAUUCGCCUGCAUGAAGCCGGAAUUGCUAGUAAUGGCAGGUCAGCAUACUGCCGUGAAUACGUUCCCGGGCCUUGUACACACCGCCCGUCACACCAUGAGAGUUGGGGAUACCCAAAGCCCGUGAGCCAACUGUAAAGAGGCAGCGGUCUAAGGUAGAAUCAAUGAUUGGGGUGAAGUCGUAACAAGGUAGC